rnacentral:rRNA from 1 species
UCGGGAAUUUUGGGCAAUGGGGGAAAUCCUGACCCAGCAACGCCGCGUGAAGGAUGAAGUAUUUCGGUAUGUAAACUUCGAAAGAAUAGGAAGAAUAAAUGACGGUACUAUUUAUAAGGUCCGGCUAACUACGUGCCAGCAGCCGCGGUAAUACGUAGGGACCAAGCGUUGUUCGGAUUUACUGGGCGUAAAGGGCGCGUAGGCGGCAAUUCAAGUCAUCUGUGAAAUCUCCGGGCUUAACUCGGAACGGUCAGAUGAUACUGCUUUGCUAGAGUGCAGAAGGGGCAAUCGGAAUUCUUGGUGUAGCGGUGAAAUGCGUAGAUAUCAAGAGGAACACCUGAGGUGAAGACGGGUUGCUGGGCUGACACUGACGCUGAGGCGCGAAAGCCAGGGGAGCAAACGGGAUUAGAUACCCCCGUAGUCCCUGAGCGGGCUGGCAAGGCGCAU